CACGUAGGGUGCGAGCGUUGUCCGGAAUUAUUGGGCGUAAAGAGCUCGUAGGCGGUGUGUCGCGUCGGCCGUGAAAACCUGCAGCUUAACUGUGGGCUUGCGGUCGAUACGGGCAUCACUGGAGUUCGGCAGGGGAGACUGGAAUUCCUGGUGUAGCGGUGAAAUGCGCAGAUAUCAGGAGGAACACCGGUGGCGAAGGCGGGUCUCUGGGCCGAUACUGACGCUGAGGAGCGAAAGCGUGGGGGAGCGAACAGG
rnacentral:rRNA from 1 species